rfam:Mus musculus chromosome 4, GRC primary reference assembly.
GCAUGUGAGGGCAGUCAGGCUGCAACAUCUGUCUGUCUUCUCACUGAUGCCAGGGUGAUUUGGCUGAUGAAGUUGGCUAGGCAGGUGUCCUCCUUACUCCUUCAGCUUCAUGCCUGUCCCUCCCAAAGCUGUAUGCUCCCUCCUACACCACAGAUUAAGCACCAGGACUAUCUUGGCUGCUCUCUUCUGCUAAAGGCCCCAAAGAAUCUCUCAAAGAUGUAGAUGCUAGGGAUAUAGUUCAGCCAUAAAGUGUUAACGCACUUGCCUAGCAUGUAUCUGAGGCCCUAGGUUUGGU